AUGGCAUCUAGAGAUACUGCGGACGGGAAAAAUUCUGACCACACAACUAUGAAUUCUAUUCCAGGCAAGAAAGGAAUGGUCCUACAUUUUGUACCUCUCUCUGUCACAUUCGAUGAUAUAAAAUACAGUGUAGACAUGCCAGAGGAAAUCAAAGCACAAGGUGUGGUGGAGAGCCGAUUGGAAUUACUAAAAGGUGUCAGUGGUUCAUUUAGGCCAGGAGUACUCACAGCUCUUAUGGGUGUAAGUGGUGCCGGUAAGACAACACUGAUGGAUGUGUUGGUUGGACGGAAGACCAGUGGAUACAUAGAGGACAACAUUACAAUCUCCGGAUAUCCAAAGAAGCAAGAAACUUUUGCUCGUGUAUCAGGUUACUGUGAGCAGAAUGACAUCCAUUCACCAAAUGUGACUGUGUAUGAAUCACUUGCAUUCUCUGCAUUUCUCCGAUUACCUGCCAAUGUUGAGUCCUCAACAAGAAAGAUGUUCAUUGAUGAGGUAAUGGAGCUAGUGGAACUUAACCCCUUAAAACAUGCAUUGGUUGGAUUACCUGGUGUGAGUGGAUUGUCAACUGAGCAGAGGAAAAGGCUAACAAUAGCAGUGGAGCUAGUUGCUAACCCUUCUAUUAUUUUCAUGGACGAACCAACAUCUGGACUGGAUGCACGGGCAGCAGCCAUUGUCAUGAGAGCAAUAAGGAAUACUGUAGAUACAGGAAGGACUGUUGUUUGCACAAUUCACCAACCGAGCAUCAACAUAUUCGAGUCUUUUGAUGAGCUCUUCCUGAUGAAACGAGGAGGUGAAGAGAUUUAUGUAGGCCCACUAGGUCGACACUCGUGUGAAUUGAUCCAAUAUUUAGAGGCUAUUGAAAAUAUCAGAAAGAUUAAAGACGGACAUAAUCCUGCAACAUGGAUGCUGGAAGUUACCAGUACAACACAAGAACAUAUAACCGGGAUUAACUUCAGUCAUGUAUACAAGAAUUCUGAAUUAUAUUGGAGGAACAAAAAAUUAAUAAAGGAGCUAAGCACACCUCCUGAAGGUUCAAGCGACCUAUCCUUUCCAACCCAAUACUCACAAAACUUCAUCACACAGUGUUUUGCUUGCCUGUGGAAGCAAAGUUUGUCAUACUGGAGAAACCCUCCAUAUACCGUUGUGAAGUACUUCUAUACUAUAGUACUUGCACUGUUGUUUGGGACAAUAUUCUGGGGUAUUGGAAGAAAAAGACACAAUCAACAAGACUUAUUCAACGCCAUGGGAUCCAUGUAUUCCGCAAUUCUGUUCAUGGGGGUGCAGAACUCUACCUCAAUUGAGCCGGUUGUGGCUGUUGAGCGCACAGUCUUUAAAGGGAAAGUGCAGCUCGCAUGUACUCACCUUUGCCAUAUGCAUUGGGACAGGUUGUAA
rnacentral:rRNA from 1 species